GUUUUAGUAGCUUAAAGUACUCUAAAGCAUUGGUCUUGUAAACCAAAGAUAAUAUAGGUUAUUCUAAAAC
rnacentral:tRNA from 1 species